GGGCCUACUUGUUCACCGGCAAAGUUAAAAGCCAUAGUUAUAAUGUGUCGUCUUUAUUAGGUGGUUACUAAUCCACGUGGGAGCGAUUGAGUUUCACGCGUGUAAGUUGCAGAAUUGGAGUGUUUUUUUUGUGUUCAGCUUUUAUAUAGUUAAAGGGUAUGCUUGUGCACUGACAAGGUUAAAGGGAAUAAUUAUAAUUUCUUGUCAAGUUAAAAGUUCUUGUUUUAUGUAUUAUGCCUUCCAUUUUUAUUGGAUCUGCAUCAUAUUUUUGACUAAAAUUAAUCACACUAAAGUUUUUUUAAAAAAAAUAAUAAUAAUAAUUAAAAAAAAAUCUUUCAAUUUAGAUUAGAAAAUAACAAGACUUCGUUAAAAAUUAAUCACACUCAUUUUUAUCACAUUGCUAAAAGAAAAGAUAAUACGCAUCCAGACUUAACAUAUGUGUAAUGAAGUCGCAGCGAGUAUAGAAAAUUGAAUGCCAAUGUAAUAAAAAUGAGUGAUGUGUUACUUUUUUUAGUAUGUCCAAAAAAUAAUAAAAUGUCAUGCUUUUUUAUGUGAUCAGGAGGUCACGGUUCAAGCCUGGGAAACAGCCUUUGGCAGAAAUGCAAGGAGACCAUUGGAGCUGCUUUGGGAUGCUAAAUGAGGAUACACAAUAGCUACAUACGAAAUUGUGUUGUUUUGUGCAUGGUCCGUCCACGACGUGCUGCCUCCACUUUGCGUCCAUUUCAGCUACGCGAAAUGGCCUUGAAGUAGGGCGCUCUUUCUACGCGGGCAAAAUUGGUUCCUAGUCCUACUUUGAGUGGGAAAACUCACCUAGUUCUUAUGAGAGUUGGUCGACCCAAUUUGGGGGCUAUGAAGAAAAGAGAGGAGAACGCGUUUGGAUUCACAACACAAAAGUUUCAAGGAGGCUACCCAGAGAGUUCUUGAUUUGUAUGGUUAAAUUCUCUUAGUUUUACUUGUUUUAUUACUUAUUGUCAUGUUGUUGUAGUAGUACGAAUUGUAUCGUUUCUUGUCAUUACAUAAUGUCCACACAUCAACAACAAUAUGAGGUGUGUAUCAUAAUUAUAGUUACGGUUUCGACGAAACUCAAUAAAAAAGUUCAAUGAUAAACAACAUUCAUUUAGAACCUA